rnacentral:rRNA from 1 species
AAUGAACGCUGGCGGCAGGCCUAACACAUGCAAGUCGAGCGAGGACUUCGGUCCUGGCGGCGGACGCGGGAGUAACGCGUGGGAACGUGCCCUUUGCUUUGGAAGAGCCCUGGGAAACUGGGAGUAAUACCGGAUGAGCUCCGUUGGGGAAAGAUAUGUCGUGCAAGGGUCGGCCCGCGUUGUAUGAGGUUGUUGGUGGGGUAAUGGCCUACCAAGGCUUGGAUCCGUAGCUGGGUAGAGAGGCUGAGCCGCCACACUGGGACUGAGACGCGGCGCAGAAUACUACGCGAGGCGGCAGUGGCGAAUCUUAGCAAAUGGGGGAAGUGCUGAUGUAGCUAGGCCGGGUAAGCGCUGAAGGUCUGAGGGUUGUGAAGCACGUUAAGACGGGAAUAUAAUGACGGUACCAACAGAAGAAGCCCCGGCUAACUCCGUG